ACUCAGUGGUUUAGUGGUCAAGCGCUCGCGCUCGAGACUGAUAGGUCCUGGGUUCGAAUCCCACGAAGCA
rnacentral:tRNA from 1 species